UACGUAGGGGGCAAGCGUUGUCCGGAUUUAUUGGGCGUAAAGAGCGUGUAGGCGCCAGGUAGGUCUGCUGUGAAAACUCGAGGGCUUAACCUCGAGCUGUCGGCGGAAACCAUCUGGCUAGAGUCCGGAAGAGGAGAAUGGAGUUCCCCGGUGUAGCGGUGAAAUUCGUAGAUAUUCGGAAGACACCAGUGGCGGAAGGCGGCUC
rnacentral:rRNA from 1 species